GGCGGAUAGAGGGUUCGAGAGAGAGAGGAGGUCAACUCUGAGACAGAAACUGUGAGAGCGACAGUGAUCGAGAGAGAGACGGCAACUCUGAGAGCGAAAAAAUAAUAGAGAGAUUGAGAGACAGAAGCACUGAGAGUUUAGUAGUGGUCCAUAGCAAGAUUUGGAUCGGUUUGUUUCGUUUUGUUUUGUAUCCAGAGAGAUUGGCGCAGAGGCUUCACUGCAGAGAUAGAGAGAUAUUCGUAUAGAAUCUUCGCAUAAUUGGUGGUUUAAGGUUCUAUGCAAAGGAGUAUCUACAUUGUUCUUUUGCCACUGUUCCUGAUUACGUUGUUUGGUGUUAGUUCAGUUCCCUGUUUUCAGUCAGAGCCAAUGAGAAUGUGGUUACUUGAAAAAGUAUCCCUUUUUUACGCACAAGAGCUCAAAUGAUGAGGUUUUUGAUGCUAAAAAGACCUUGAUAGUGACGAAGACAUUGAAGGUGAGGACAAUUUAUUUAAUUCAGAGCAAGCAAGCAAGCACCCUGAUCACAUUGACUAGGAAUCUCACUCAUUGAUAUGGCGAUUACUUAAGGUCUCCAUUGUUCUCACCUGCCAUGACUCAGUAGCUCACCCUGCAGCACUCAAAUCAAAUUGCCUAAUUGUACAGCUAAUUUUCCUGCAAAGAUGCAUUCUUAUGCUUAAAACGGUUGCUACCUUGAGGAGAGAUGCUGCUGCUCAGGAGCUGAUGUGUGCCUGGGGUGCUGGCCGCUUAUGACAACUGCUAUUAAAGUGAUUGACACUGCCCUUUGAGGUAGGGAUAUUUUUUCCA